UGAGAUGAUAGAGAAGGACACCACGUAC
rnacentral:piRNA from 1 species